rnacentral:rRNA from 1 species
UUAGGAAUAUUGGACAAUGGGCGCAAGCCUGAUCCAGCCAUGCCGCGUGAGUGACGACGGCCUUAGGGUUGUAAAGCUCUUUCAGAUGCGAAGAUAAUGACGGUAACAUCAGAAGAAGCCCCGGCUAAAUUCGUGCCAGCAGCCGCGGUAAUACGAAUGGGGCAAGCGUUGUUCGGAAUCACUGGGCGUAAAGCGUACGUAGGCGGCUUUUCAAGUCAGGAGUGAAAUCCUGGGGCUCAACCCCAGAACUGCUCUUGAAACUGGAUCGCUAGAGUCCCGGAGAGGUUGGCGGAAUUCCGAGUGUAGAGGUGAAAUUCGCAGAUAUUCGGAGGAACACCAGUGGCGUAGGCGGCCAACUGGACGGGAACUGACGCUGAGGUACGAAAGCGUGGGGAGCAAACAGGAUUAGAUACCCCCGUAGUCC